CACGCCGCCGCCCGGCCGCCCCUCUCCCCUCUAUCAGGCGCCCCCUCGGAUUUCCUCCUCCAGCGUGUCACCACAGACGCCCGUCCGAUCCGGUCGUCACCGCCACCUCUUCACUGUUAGCGCCUCCACUGGACGGAUCCGGUCUUCAAUGUCUCGCCUCGAAUGUCCAUGUCCUCCACAGCGCGUCUCAGGGCAUGGAGAGAUAAGUUCACAGCUCCGAUGGCGACCCGAGCUCUCCAGAUGCUGGGGGAGGACUCUCCGUGGAGCCUAGCACCCGAGCUCUCCAGAUCCUAGGGGAGGCCUCUUCGUGGAUCCUAGAAGGAGCGGCGGUGGCCAUGGCGCUGCUGUGACUGGCCGCCUAGAUUCUGGAAUGGGCAUGGUUGACCCCGCGGCGGCUGGGUCGGGCCCUGCAGGCUCACGGCCUCAAGGGCACCCGAUACGGUGGCAGCUGGAGAGAGGCUUGGUCCAAGCCCCUGCCGCUCGGCUCCCACGACAUCAUCCCUCGCGUGCAGCCUAUGUUCAACAACGCCAUUAAAAGGAAUGGUGAGAAAUUCAGCAAUUCUUGCUUUCCUUUAUUAUUCUUGUGAUGGCAGAACCGACAGUCUUGUCAUUUCGAGAACACAUUACGAAUAUGCAUUAGGUUGCAGAAACCUUGCUUGGUUUGCAGACAGGAGCAUUACGAAUAUGCAUUGGCUUGCUUGCUUCGAGUUCACAAUAGUAUUUCUGAACCUUUUCAAAGCGCUCUGAAAUUUUUCUCAGGGAUAUACAUAGCAUGAUGUACUACUAGACAGGAGCAUCUAAAGAACUGUAUGGUGCACUUUUUUUGCCUUGUAAACAAACGAUCACUUUGUAAAUGCAGGAAAAAAAUUCAUUCACUUGGUUUGGUCCAACACCUAGGGUGAUGAUUCCUGACCCGAAAUUAGUAAGAGAAAUUCUAUCCAACAAGUUUGGGCACUAUGGCAAACAAAAGAGCAGUCGUUUUGGGAAGCUGCUUGCAAACAGGCUUGCAAAUCAUCAAGGCGAGAAAUGGGCAAAGCACCGGCGAAUCUUGAAUCCUGCUUUUCACCACGAGAAGAUAAAAGUAACUACGCGAUGGAAUUUUAUAGCUGCUUUCACUGUUUUCCCAUUGAAAUCAUCAUGCCUAAUGAACGAUAAUGCACUGCCUGAAUAAUGCUUCAUUCACAGAAGAUGGGAGAAUUCACUGUGCACUGAAGGAUCAUAUGAGAUUGACACUUUUUAUCCCAGACUAUUGGUAUGUUCUUCCCUUCUUGCAUCAAAAAGAAAAAAUAUCAACUUGCACAUUCGAGUAAUUGCCAAGCACACAUGCUUUUUCUCAUAGGAGUAGUUGUAACCUUUAUAUCACAAACUCAUAUCACUUCACAAUUCAAUUUUGUUCGCAAUUGGAGCAGUAAGUGCAUCCAAGAUCUGUGGUGUUUGACAAAAAUUAUGUAGUUUAGGCACAUGCACUUUAUCUCGUAGAGGUGCUGAAAUGGAAUUGGAAAAUAAGAUCGUAGACCUUUUUUAAAAUGCAAGGACUUUGUUGAAGAAAAUAGCAGAUUAAUGUAAAAAAAACUUUGUGACAUAUCAGAGUAUUUGCACGUUCCUACCUACAAAUAAAGACAAAGCUAUUAAAAUGGUGAAGCCAUCGGUGAUGACUUGCUAGGAUUGCUAUUGGAGUCAAGUACACGGGAAUCCAAUGGGAAAGCAAAUCUAGGAAUGAGUACUGAAGAAAUAGUCCAGGAAUGCAAGAUAUUUUACUUUGCAGGUAUGAAGACAACAUCAGUCUUGCUCACAUGGACACUAACUCUGCUCAGCAUGCACCCAGAGCGGCAAGAGAAUGCAAUUAUGCAAGCGAUGAAGUUUUGCGCCAUUUUGGAAGAACCACACCUGAUUUCGAGCACUUGAGUCGCCUGAAGGUUGUAAGUAUGAAAUAUAUAUUCUGACAUUUUUUUGCAGUGGCUAAUAUAACAGCACAAGUAAUGCCCCCUUCAUCAAUAUAACAAUAUAAGUACCAGGAAUAUAACAUAUCAGAUUUCUGUAGUAUUAAAAUUGUACCACAUAUCUGCAUAUACAUUUGAGUGAAAACAAAUACUCACAAAUCUCUGACCGUGUCGUUAAAAAGACUUUAUUUGGAGCAAAAGGAAGACAUUGUGCUUUAAGUUCAGAAGGAUUGGAGCAAGGAUCUUUAUAUUGUGUGUUUUUUUGUAGGUAACAAUGAUUGGCAUUGAGGCCUGGAUCUAGGUGCGCCUCCUCUCCCCCUUUGUACACAAAGCUUUGCGUACAAUGCCUCCUGUAGAGUGAGCUAGCACGGCAUGGACCAGGUUUCGAUGCAAGUUCUUUUCCAGAAACAUAGUUUUGCUUUUUUAGCUUCAUGAUAACUCCUUCGAGCAACUGCUGAAAGUGAAACACGACUUGACUUGGUGUAUUUAGCUUCAUGAUAACGCUAGAGGUUGGAAAAACUAUCUGCUGUAGCAUAAUAUCAAAUAGAAUCUCUAUUAUUCCAAUACGGCAUUUUGUGAUGUUGACCUCUAGGAUCUGAUACCAAGUUUCGUAUUAAAACUUGUGCAUAUUCAGGAUAAUGUGUAUUUGUUCUUUUGAAUAAUGCAAUGAGCAAGGCACUGGUCAGUAUCAUA